GUACUGAAGAAGAAGGUGUUCAUGUGUAUUCACUCACAUAAUUCACUCUAUGAACUGCUAAGCACCUAGCUGGAACGGGAACAAGCUCGACCUCCGCAAUGCGUACCACCUGGUGCGGAUCCAGACGGGGGACGAGUGGAAGACGGGGUUCAACACCCCCCUCGGCCACUUCCAUUAUUUAGUUAUGCCGUUUGGACUCACUAACGCCCCUGCUGUGUUCCAGGCGUUGACCUUCUGGAACACCAGCGUCAUGUCCGGAUGGUUCUCCAGCGCCUACUGGAGAACAACUGUUUGUGAAGGCAGAGAAAUGUGAGUUCCACGUAACCUCUGUUCGGUUCCUGAGGUUCAUCAUCGAGACGGGUCAGGUGAGGGCUGAUCCGGAGAAGGGAACGGAGUGGUCGACCCCCUCCUCUAGGAAACAGCUCCAGCAGUUCUUGGGGUUUGCGAACUUCUACCGCAGCUUCAUACAAAACCCGACACCCUCUCUCGCCAGUUCUUCCCAAACGUCACUUCUCCUUUCCUGGCACCAUAUGUGGCAACCUGUGUGGCAGCCUCUCUCACCCCACCUUUGUUCCUCCGCCUGCACGCUCCCAAGUGCUCCAAUGGUUUCAUAACUCCCGGUUCUCCUGUCACCCGGGCGUCAUGCGUACCACCGACAUGCUCCGGCGGACUUUUUGGUGAAAGUCGCUGGAGGCAGACACCAGAGCAUUUGUCCUGGCCUGCUCCAUCUGUUCACGCAACA